rnacentral:rRNA from 1 species
GACGAACGCUGGCGGCGUGCCUAAUACAUGCAAGUUGAGCGCUGAAGGUUGGUACUUGUACCAACUGGAUGAGCAGCGAACGGGUGAGUAACGCGUGGGGAAUCUGCCCUUGAGCGGGGGACAACAUUUGGAAACGAAUGCUAAUACCGCAUAAAAACUUUAAACACAAGUUUUAAGUUUGAAAGAUGCAAUUGCAUCACUCAAAGAUGAUCCCGCGUUGUAUUAGCUAGUUGGUGAGGUAAAGGCUCACCAAGGCGAUGAGACAUAGCCGACCUGAGAGGGUGAUCGGCCACAUUGGGACUGAGACACGGCCCAAACUCCUACGGGAGGCAGCAGUAGGGAAUCUUCGGCAAUGGACGAAAGUCUGACCGAGCAACGCCGCGUGAGUGAAGAAGGUUUUCGGAUCGUAAAACUCUGUUGGUAGAGAAGAACGUUGGUGAGAGUGGAAAGCUCAUCAAGUGACGGUAACUACCCAGAAAGGGACGGCUAACUACGUG